AUCUCAGUUGCCCAAGACUUCUCAGUUACCAAUAGGUUGGGCUAGCUUUGGACCCAGGUCAGUCUGGCUCCAUAUUUUACCCACUUCUUCUCCUUCCCCAAUCCUAAAACACUUGGGAGCCGAAAGGAAAAGUCCUAAUGGAACUUGGGUGUUCCCUGAGGGGUCCAAAGGGGAUUUCCUGGAGUCAGAAUGGCCAAGUUUCCUGAAGUUAAACAGUUGACACAGACAAAUAACAGACACUCCCAGAAACAUGAAACCAACAGCCAACGAACCAACCAACAGUCAACCAACCGACCUACAGCACCACCAACAAAAAAUGGUCUUUUCAACAGAUGAAGAAUCUGAGCUUCAGGAAGGUUAAGCAGGUUUGCCUGAGAUCACAAAGCUAGCCAUAGAAGAGGAAGGACGUGUGAAUGUGGAAGAUGGGUUGUGAUGGUCUGACUUUCCUGGCCUGAGGACAGCAGCAACAAUCCUGAAUUCCUCUGGAUGGGUCUCUUCCACCCGUCUGGAGUGGAUCUGGGACAGAAUGGGGUCCUAGGAUCUCAACCGAGCAUGAUGAAAUUUAACUCUGAGUUUCCCAAGGCCCCCAGACAAACAGAGAAACAAGACCAGUAUGUAACACUCCACGUGAGCUAUCUUCGGUUCAUUAAGUCCAUGAGCAGUUACUGAUUACCAUGCUCUGCUGAUCUCUGCGCCCAGUCCCAAGGAAACAAGAAGUCAGGCACCAUGGAUCUCUGCAGUCAAAAGGACUCCAGCAGCACUGUCCAGAGGAAAUGUAAGAACCACAAAUGGAAGCCACAUAUGCGAUUCUAGUUUUUCUAACAGCCACAUGAAAAAAAACACCAAAAGAAACAGGUGAACUUAUUUUAAUAGCCUGUUUUAACUCAAUAUACAUAAAAUGUUAUUGUC